UACGUAGGUGACAAGCGUUGUCCGGAUUUACUGGGCGUAAAGAGCGCGCAGGCGGUCGAUCAAGUCGAGUGUGAAAGCCCCCGGCUCAACUGGGGAGGGUCAUUCGAUACUGAUCGACUCGAAGGCAGGAGAGGGUAGUGGAAUUCCCGGUGUAGUGGUGAAAUGCGUAGAUAUCGGGAGGAACACCAGUGGCGAAGGCGGGUCUCUGGACAGUUACUGACACUGAGGCACGAAGGCCAGGGGAGCAAACGGG
rnacentral:rRNA from 1 species